rnacentral:rRNA from 1 species
GGCGGCGCACAUAAGACAUGCAAGUCGAACGGAAGUCGUUAGAGAAUAGAUUGAAGAUUUAUCUGAUUGAAGUUCUUUAACAAUGGCUUUAGUGGCGGACUGGUGAGUAAUGUGUAAGCAACCUGCCUAUUAGAGGGGAAUAACAGUGAGAAAUCAUUGCUAAUACCGCAUAUGCUCACAAUACCACAUGGUAUAGUGAGGAAAGGAGCAAUCCGCUAAUAGAUGGGCUUACAUCUGAUUAGCUAGUUGGUGGGGUAACGGCCUACCAAGGCGACGAUCAGUAGCCGGACUGAGAGGUUGAACGGCCACAUUGGGACUGAGAUACGGCCCAGACUCCUACGGGAGGCAGCAGUCGGGAAUAUUGCGCAAUGGAGGAAACUCUGACGCAGUGACGCCGCGUAUAGGAAGAAGGUUUUCGGAUUGUAAACUAUUGUCGUUAGGGAAGAUAAAAGACAGUACCUAAGGAGGAAGCCCCGGCUAACUACGUGCCAGCAGCCGCGGUAAU